rnacentral:rRNA from 1 species
UACAGAGGGUGCAAGCGUUAAUCGGAAUUACUGGGCGUAAAGCGCACGCAGGCGGUUGGUUAAGUCAGAUGUGAAAGCCCCGGGCUCAACCUGGGAAUUGCAUUUGAAACUGGCCAACUAGAGUAUGUGAGAGGGGGGUAGAAUUCCAAGUGUAGCGGUGAAAUGCGUAGAGAUUUGGAGGAAUACCAGUGGCGAAGGCGGCCCCCUGGCACAAUACUGACGCUGAGGUGCGAAAGCGUGGGGAGCAAACAGG